CCAAUAUUUUGGGGAUAAAAAAAAUGUUUAGUUUAGGUAACAAACUCAAACAACAUUCUCUUGUCAGUUUUGACCCUUAGAAUUUCAAAUUAUAACACAAAAACAGAAGGGACCAAUACGAUUGUUUGAAGACAGUCAUAAAACAGCCACAAGAUUGGUGUAAAGGGUUCCAGCACAAAAGAAAAAAGAAGCCAAAAAUAGUGAAGAAACUUUGCCAGCAAAGGAUUGAGUUCCAGCACAAUCAACUUAACAGUCUGUCUAUCCAGCACAGCAAAAGCAUAAAAAAUAAGGAAUCUUUACAAAGAGAGAAUGCAAAAUCACAUGGGUUUGCUUGGAUUCCCAAAGCUUACAGUUCAAACAUAAACAGUAUUAAAUCCCCAAUUCCUCCAUUUCCAUUCUUCUCAUUCAUAAUCUUCAAAUUUCUUCUUCUUCUGUCUCUCUCUAGGGUUCUUCUGAGAGAGACAGAGAUGGCUGUUUUGAGGGCUUCUUGUUUUGGAAUAUAUGCUGCUCUGCUUAUUGCUGUCUUUUAUGUUGUUGCGUUGCCUCUAUCUUCAGCUCAACUUUCUUCUUCUUCUCCAGCUCCAGCUCCAGCUCCAACUAGUGAUGGAACCGCAAUAGACCAAGGAAUAGCAUACGUUCUAAUGCUGGUGGCUUUAGUGCUAACUUAUAUCAUCCAUUGAAAAAACAGAAGAACAAUUACUAUGAAUUUCAUUAUUUUCAAGUCUGUGAGAGAUGAAAGGAAAGAGGGUGUGGGGUUGUGUUAUUCUAUAUAUUUGCCAUUUUUUCUUUUCUUUCUUUCUUUCUUUCUUUUUUUUUUGAAGCUUGGCAAAGGUUUCAUUUGUAGAAAGUGAUCUGUUGUAUUUUGUAUUAUAAUUUAUUUAUAUAUUUUUCAUUCUUUUUUCUUGAA